rnacentral:misc_RNA from 1 species
GAUGAAGAACGUAGCGAAAUGCGAUACGUAAUGUGAAUUGCAGAAUUCAGUGAAUCAUCGAGUCUUUGAACGCACAUUGCGCCCCCUGGUAUUCCGGGGGGCAUGCCUGUCCGAGCGUCAUUGCUGCCCUCAAGCCCGGCUUGUGUGUUGGGUCUCGUCCCCCUUCCCGGGGGGACGGGCCCGAAAGGCAGCGGCGGCACCGUGUCCGGUCCUCGAGCGUAUGGGGCUUUGUCACCCGCUCUGUAGGCCCGGCCGGCGCUUGCCGACACAUCAAUCUUUUUUCCAGGUUGACCUCGGAUCAGGUAGGGAUACCCGCUGAACUUAAGCAUAUCAAUAAGCGGAGGA